ACAUGCUUUUGCAUAAAAUUCUUCCAGAUUAGAGUGAAGUGUUAUGGAGUUUAGUACCUGCACUUAAGUCUUAAGUGAUAAAAAGACAAAAUAAUUAAGUCAAGCACUAUUCCUCCUGUCUAUACUUCACCUUUGUUCCAGAGUUUUUCAAAAGUUUUCGAAAUAAAACUCAGAGUUCCCAGCAAUGAUUCUCUCAAAUCUCUCUAUAUUUGGUAUUUGUGGAUCCUUACCAUAAUGUCACUUACCUAUAGCUAAUGUAAUAUUUAAGUGGAGCUCAUAGGAGUGAAAAAUAGCUCAUACAUAUGUUGUCUAAUCGAGCUAUGGAUCCAAAAGGAACUCAGCAUAUAAUUAAAUCAAGAUGUGCAUGCGUGGUGGAGUAAAUGAUAGUGAUGGUAAAAAUAUAUAAGUAAUAAUAAAACUUAGUUCUCAUUGCUCCUCAUAUUGCUAUCUCUCCUCCUCUUUGAUCUUUGCUUUGGGGGAACAUGGGCUAUCUCUUUUUCUUUUUCUUUUCUUUUUUUUCAGGUGGGUAGUAGAUACCCCUAAUUCUAGUGUCGGACACUUGUCCAUUUUUUCCGCUCAAGUGGGCAUCUUUGUACCCCUAAUUCUACUUCGGACACUUGUCCAUUUUUACCUCUGAUCUCACUCUUUUUGUUUCUUUUUCGAGGUUCCGGGUACUUGCCCCUUUUUAUUUCCUCGCAUAUUUUUACAUAACCCAUGCCUCUUCUGCAUUGAAUCUUUUUAGAGAGAGAGAAUAACAAUAUUUGGGACAGUGAGUGAUAAUAUUUUUAGCAAUUUUAAUGAUUGGUGAUGAAUGCUAUGGUAGAUGUGUGCAAGUGAAUAUCUUAAUUUAACCACAUGAAAAGCUCCUAAGGGUCAACACAGCUCGAUCAAACUCAAUGUAAAGAUGUUAUAGCAAGUAUGGCUGUGAUAGGUAGUUUUGUAUACUAGGAACUCGUCAUGUGAUUUGUAAGUUUUCAAAAUAAAUCUCCAGAACUUAGUGUAGUAGGAACUAGAUAAACAGCAGCUCAACUUUAUAUCAUGCCUUUCUCUUACCUAGACUUUAGUUUUAUGCUUCCCAAAGAUAGUAAAUUCAGUUUUAAUAAUUCCUGGAAGAACUCUAAUGUAAAAGCUAGGUACUUGAAAGUAAGCAACCAGAGCAACUGUUCAUUAUUUCCAUCAUGUAUCUUUUUAGUCUUUUAUUUUUUUAG
rnacentral:lncRNA from 1 species